rnacentral:misc_RNA from 1 species
GAAAUGCGAUAAGUAGUGUGAAUUGCAGAAUUCAGUGAAUCAUCGAAUCUUUGAACGCACAUUGCGCCCUUUGGUAUUCCUUAGGGCAUGCCUGUUCGAGCGUCAUCUAAACCUUCAAGCCCUUCUUGGUGUUGGGUGCCUGUCCCGCCUCCGCGCGCGGACUCACCUCAAAUCCAUUGGCGGCCCCCGCGUCGGCCACGAGCGCAGCAGAAACGCGAACUCGUGAGCCCGUCCGGGCGGCUCCCAGAAGCUACACCCACCCAGUUUGACCUCGGAUCAGGUAGGGAUACCCGCUGAACUUAAGC